CGAGACGCCGGUGGGCGGCGGGAGGUGUCGCCCGCUAGAUGGCGCGCGCCCCGCGAAGCCUCCCACAUUCGCUAAUUGAACCUACACUUUCGGUUGCCUGGAAGAAGUCGCUUGAAAGCAAUAAGGCCACCCGUUGCCCUCAAUUGUCAUCAUUUUACUGAACGUCAAACGGGCAAGAGGCUGACCUGAUGUUCAGUGCCCAUGGUGGCACUGUGAGAGUCAACUGCCAGAAAGAUUGCUGCUAAGUAGCGAUCAAGUCUCAUUGAGCUUCUUCCGUGGACUCCGGCUCCGACCACAAAGCACCAACAAGGACUGUGUUUGAAGAGCAAAAAUAGAAGAAUGCGAGGAAACAUGAUAUAAAAAAACGAUUUCUCUUUUGUUAUAAUUUUUAAGUAAACUUAAUAUAUUAAUUAUUAUAUAUGUACUAAAUUAUGCUUCAACAGUCGUAACCGCGAUAUUAUCAUCUAUUGUUGUGUCGUUAACGACUAAAUCUGUAGAAUUAGACAAAGGCUCAGCUGUACUAUUUUCACUAAAAACUUCACUUGUGACACUAGUUUUAUUUUCCUUGAUAUUGUCAGCAAUCGUUUUAUUUCCAGAAACAGAUGUGUGAUUUCCGCUAAAAUUAUCCAUUUCAACAUCAUCAUCAAAAUGCGUUUCCGGUUCUUUCUCUUUUUUCUGAGCCCAUAUCGGUCGUUUUGUCGUAGGCGCACCUAAUUUCCAUUUUUCCUGAAUCCCUGAUUUAUCUGUGUACUUUGCUUUGU